rnacentral:rRNA from 2 species
UACGGGGGGAGCAAGCGUUGUUCGGAUUUACUGGGCGUAAAGGGCGCGUAGGCGGCCACCGCAAGUCGGUUGUGAAAUCUCCGGGCUUAACCCGGAAAGGUCAAUCGAUACUGCGGGGCUAGAGUGCAGAAGGGGCAACUGGAAUUCUCGGUGUAGCGGUGAAAUGCGUAGAUAUCGAGAGGAACACCUGCGGCGAAGGCGGGUUGCUGGGCUGACACUGACGCUGAAGCGCGAAAGCUAGGGGAGCGAACGGG